rnacentral:rRNA from 1 species
AGAAUCAACGCUGGCGGCGUGCCUAACACAUGCAAGUCGCACGAGAAAGGGGAGCAAUCCCUGAGUACAGUGGCGCACGGGUGAGUAACACGUGAAUAAUCUACCUCCGAGUGGGGAAUAACUGAGAGAAAUCUUAGCUAAUACCGCAUAACACUUACGAGUCAAAGCAGCAGUGCGCUUGGAGAGGAGUUCGCGGCCGAUUAGUUAGUUGGCGGGUAAUGGCCCACAAGACGAUGAUCGGUA